GAUGAACGCUGGCGGCGUGCUUAACACAUGCAAGUCGAACGGAAAGGCCCAAGCUUGCUUGGGUACUCGAGUGGCGAACGGGUGAGUAACACGUGGGUGAUCUGCCCUGCACUUCGGGAUAAGCCUGGGAAACUGGGUCUAAUACCGGAUAGGACGAUGGUUUGGAUGCCAUUGUGGAAAGUUUUUUCGGUGUGGGAUGAGCUCGCGGCCUAUCAGCUUGUUGGUGGGGUAAUGGCCUACCAAGGCGUCGACGGGUAGCCGGCCUGAGAGGGUGUACGGCCGCAUUGGGACUGAGAUACGGCCCAGACUCCUACGGGAGGCAGCAAUGGGGAAUAUUGCACAAUGGGCGCAAGCGUGAUGCAGCGACGCCGCGUGGGGGAUGACGGCCUUCGGGUUGUAAACUCCUGUCGCUAGGGACGAAGCGUUUUUGUGACGGUACCUGGAGAAGAAGCACCGGCUAACUACGUG
rnacentral:rRNA from 1 species